rnacentral:tRNA from 1 species
GGAAGCGUGCCCGAAAGUUAAGGACCUCCUUGAUAGGGAGGAUUAUAGGGGUUCAAAUCCCCUCACUUCC